rnacentral:snoRNA from 1 species
UGGAUGAUGUUAUCAUAUAUUUGCUACUUCAGAACCCACGGGGUAAUGAGAACAUAAAUCACCAAGAUCUCUGACA